GCGAACCAGGGGAACUGAAACAUCUAAGUACCCUGAGGAAAAGAAAUCAACCGAGAUUCCCUUAGUAGUGGCGAGCGAACGGGGACUAGCCCUUAAGUGGCUUUGAGAUUAGCGGAACGCUCUGGAAAGUGCGGCCAUAGUGGGUGAUAGCCCUGUACGCGAAAGUCUCUUAGUCAUGAAAUCGAGUAGGACGGAGCACGAGAAACUUUGUCUGAAUAUGGGGGGACCAUCCUCCAAGGCUAAAUACUACUGACUGACCGAUAGUGAACUAGUACCGUGAGGGAAAGGCGAAAAGAACCCCGGAGAGGGGAGUGAAAUAGAUCCUGAAACCGUAUGCGUACAAGCAGUGGGAGCAGACUUUGUUCUGUGACUGCGUACCUUUUGUAUAAUGGGUCAGCGACUUAUAUUCAGUGGCGAGCUUAACCGAAUAGGGGAGGCGUAGCGAAAGCGAGUCUUAAUAGGGCGUUUAGUCGCUGGGUAUAGACCCGAAACCGGGCGAUCUAUCCAUGGGCAGGUUGAAGGUUAGGUAACACUGACUGGAGGACCGAACCGACUACCGUUGAAAAGUUAGCGGAUGACCUGUGGAUCGGAGUGAAAGGCUAAUCAAGCUCGGAGAUAGCUGGUUCUCCUCGAAAGCUAUUUAGGUAGCGCCUCAUGUAUCACUGUAGGGGGUAGAGCACUGUUUCGGCUAGGGGGUCAUCCCGACUUACCAAACCGAUGCAAACUCCGAAUACCUACAAGUGCCGAGCAUGGGAGACACACGGCGGGUGCUAACGUCCGUCGUGAAAAGGGAAACAACCCAGACCGUCAGCUAAGGUCCCAAAGUUAUGGUUAAGUGGGAAACGAUGUGGGAAGGCUUAGACAGCUAGGAGGUUGGCUUAGAAGCAGCCACCCUUUAAAGAAAGCGUAAUAGCUCACUAGUCGAGUCGGCCUGCGCGGAAGAUGUAACGGGGCUCAAACCAUACACCGAAGCUACGGGUAUCAUCUUAGGAUGAUGCGGUAGAGGAGCGUUCUGUAAGCCUGUGAAGGUGAGUUGAGAAGCUUGCUGGAGGUAUCAGAAGUGCGAAUGCUGACAUGAGUAACGACAAUGGGUGUGAAAAACACCCACGCCGAAAGACCAAGGUUUCCUGCGCAACGUUAAUCGACGCAGGGUUAGUCGGUCCCUAAGGCGAGGCUGAAAAGCGUAGUCGAUGGAAAACAGGUUAAUAUUCCUGUACUUCUGGUUAUUGCGAUGGAGGGACGGAGAAGGCUAGGCCAGCUUGGCGUUGGUUGUCCAAGUUUAAGGUGGUAGGCUGAGAUCUUAGGUAAAUCCGGGAUCUUAAGGCCGAGAGCUGAUGACGAGUGUUCUUUUAGAACACGAAGUGGUUGAUGCCAUGCUUCCAAGAAAAGCUUCUAAGCUUCAGGUAACCAGGAACCGUACCCCAAACCGACACAGGUGGUUGGGUA
rnacentral:rRNA from 1 species